UACGUAGAUGGCAAGCGUUAUCCGGAUUUAUUGGGCGUAAAGGGAACGCAGGCGGUCUUUUAAGUCUGAUGUGAAAGCCUUCGGCUUAACCGGAGUAGUGCAUUGGAAACUGGGAGACUUGAGUGCAGAAGAGGAGAGUGGAACUCCAUGUGUAGCGGUGAAAUGCGUAGAUAUAUGGAAGAACACCAGUGGCGAAAGCGGCUCUCUGGUCUGUAACUGACGCUGAGGUUCGAAAGCGUGGGUAGCAAACAGG
rnacentral:rRNA from 1 species